rnacentral:rRNA from 1 species
UGGGGGAUAUUGCACAAUGGGCGAAAGCCUGAUGCAGCGACGCCGCGUGGGGGAUGAAGGCCUUCGGGUUGUAAACUUCUUUUGCUCUGAACAAGGCAUGCCUUUGGGGUGUGUUGAGUGUAGGGGUUGAUUAGCGCCGGCUAACUACGUGCCAGCAGCCGCGGUAAUACGUAGGGCGCGAGCGUUGUCCGGAAUUAUUGGGCGUAAAGGGCUUGUAGGUGGCUGGUUGCGUCUGUCGUGAAGGCUCAUGGAUUAACUGUGGGUUUGCGGUGGGUACGGGCUGGCUUGAGUGCAGUAGGGGAUGCUGGAAUUCCUGGUGUAGCGGUGGAAUGCGCAGAUAUCAGGAGGAAUACCGGUGGCGAAGGCGGGUCUCUGGGCUGUUACUGACGCUGAGGAGCGAAAGCGUGGGGAGCGAACAGG